GCCGAGAUAGCUCAGGCGGUAGAGCGGCGGACUGAAAAUCCGCGCGUCGGGGGUUCGACUCCCUCUCUCGGCA
rnacentral:tRNA from 1 species